CAUUGAUAUCCAGGAAGAACUUUUGAGCAAUUUUUCGACCAGGUUUCAAUCAAUGAGAUUAUCAUCAACGGCUAGAACAUGAGAUUCAUGCUCUAAAUGGGGGGUCUCUAAUGGUGAUUUUGUUGAUAAGACGCUUUUUGUGUUCAAGUGUAUGUCUCCAUCAGAGUCAUAUCCGUUAGACGAGAUUCUCCCGUUCCUAAGUAAGGGGACGUUUACACAAAUGCCUACCUGGUGCACGAGCCAAUUCACGGUCUAAGACCUUCUCUUCCUACACAACCCAAUAUUACCUGAUAUCAUCCUCUGGUAUGUAUUCGGUAUCAUUCAUGCUCCUAGGUUGGAAGACUGGCCUAUAACGCUUGUAGAGCGGAUUGGGUUUAUGGUUCAGGUGUUUGAAUACAUAAAUAGUUGUAUAUUUGUUGGGAUUGAAAUUGAGAUUGUGUUGCAGCCACAUGGGUUUUUUAAUUGCUCCCCAACGAUAGACGUUCCAUCUGGAGCUUGUGAGUCAAAUGUGAAAGAUAGCAGCAGCCAUGUGAAAGAUGGUACUGCUCCAAAGGCGGUUUCAAUUGGCUUGAUAGCAACCAAGCUUUGAUUUGGCAAAUAUUUUGGAUUUGUUGUGUGAAGCUGAACCAGUACUGUACAAUCUUUUCUUAUGGUUGGAUUUUUAUAGGGGGAGGCUAAUGGCACCCCU